rnacentral:misc_RNA from 1 species
UGAUUUUUGAAAACAAGCUCGUUUAAAGAAAUUUCUUUUUGUAAAUGUCUUCUUGUUUCCUGUUCCAAAACAUUUAUUUGAUUAUCAAAAAUGGAAUAAGCCUUUAUGAUAUUCAAAUUCUUUGUUUUGGGUUUUUCAACAAAAGGAAAAACAAGAUUUUGGUUUUUUGUUUUAAAAGAAAUACUAUCAUAAUUGAUUUUGUAGGGAGUAAUCAAAUUGAUGAAAGGCGUCCCUAAAAUGACACUAUGACUGAUAUCUUUUAUUAAAACAAAUGAAGUUUUUAGGAGAAGAUUUGAAUUGGCUAUUGAAGCCUCUGUUUUGUAAUUAAUUUUGAUUUUGGAAUUGUUUGCAGCUGAAAGGUUUUCAGUAGUUUUUUCUUGGAAUUUCUUUGGAAUGAUACCUUCUUUGAUACAAUUUAAAUCUGCACCUGUAUCAAACAAGGCAAUUGUAUCAAUCUUAAAAUCUUUUAAAAAAACUAUAGAAAUUCGAAUCAAAUAUUUUCUGGAAGAAAUCUCAUUAAGGAUGAAGAGAAAUUCUUUUGUACGUUUUUCAAGAUUUUGAAUUUCUAAAGUAUUUUCUUCAUCUUCUUCUUCGAGG